UACGGUAGGUGCGAGCGUUGUCCGGAAUUAUUGGGCGUAAAGGGCUCGUAGGCGGUUUGUCGCGUCGGGAGUGAAAUCCACUGGCUUAACUGGUGGCUUGCUUUCGAUACGGGCAGACUGGAGGUAUGCAGGGGAGAACGGAAUUCCUGGUGUAGCGGUGAAAUGCGCAGAUAUCAGGAGGAACACCGAUGGCGAAGGCAGGUCUCUGGGCCACUACUGACGCUGAGAAGCGAAAGCAUGGGGAGCGAACAGG
rnacentral:rRNA from 1 species